GCAAGGAUCACAGCCCCAAGUACAGCACCCAGAGAGCAGCCCAAAACCACGGUAAUGUCCAUCGCUAAAGUGGGUUCGUGGUUUACGACCUAAAGUCCACCUGUCCCACAACACCGUACCUGCCAACUCCUCCCAGCUCCAGUUGCUGCUGAGGCUGAUGAAUGCACUCCUGUUGACGGCGUCAGGAACACAAACAGAAAGUACUGAAUGGACCGAGUGAGAGCGUGUUACGCAAUAGGCGGAAAAACUGUUACGCUUUUUGCGUAAUUGUCUGUCCCUUUGCAUGGCAUAUUCAGCGCACUCAGUUAAUUAUCUUUGAGAAUAGCAGGCUGCGCCAUACCGUGAUUGACAGCGCAGUCAUCCAAACGGAGUCUUAAACGUAUCUCUGUUACUCUAGUAACGUACUGUACAAUCACCAGGAAACACAUGAGUAGUGUCAUUGAUAGGUUGUUGUUUUUGUUAUUUUUUUGUUUGUCUGUGAGAGACAACGACAGAUGAGACACGUGUGUUUACCUGCUGCAGAGAAACUGAUGAAGGAAUGCUGCCAUCAAAGGAUUUGUAUCUUUUGUGGUGGAGCAGGACCUGCAAGGAAAGGUGAAAAAAGGGAAAACCUGAAACAAAAGAAUAAUGUAAUGACUUUUUGUAUUGUGUAUGUGUAUUUUUGUAGGACAUGAAAAUGUCCGUAGACUGGUGUGUGCACUGAGGAUGGAGAAGACCACAGCAUCAUCCUGGAAAUGAUCGAGAGUCACAGAUGAGAUGCUCCCUCACUCCACCUGCCCUUUUCUGCCUCAUCAGGACCAGAUGCUACUGUGGUGUCUUCAUCCUCAGUUUGAAUACCAGGGAACACAUGUUAGGUAGUCGUGCUCAUGGGGUGCAGACACACGAAAGUUUGGAGCAGACACAGCAGUCAGAUUGUCCUGCAAGUGUUCCCCUGCUCUAGCUUCAAGGUUGUGUGGUUCAGAGAGCCAUCAUCAAGGUCUUCCUCAUCCUGUUGCUCAACGACAUCCCCAUUGAGAAGAGUGAGAUUGUGAAGUGCAGCAGCAGAACUGUAUCAGCUGUGUUCAGAUGGCAGGAGGAUGUUGGGUUCACCAUCUGUAAAUACAUGAUUGUUAGAACAAUAAGUUUGAAUGACGCUUUGUUUCAUGUGUUGUUGAC